GACGAACGCUGGCGGCGUGCCUAAUACAUGCAAGUAGAACGAGUUGCGAACGGGUGAGUAACGCGUGGUAACCUGCCUCAUAGCGGGGGAUAACUAUUGGAAACGAUAGCUAAUACCGCAUACGGUGAGAUGGACCUGGUUUGUAUUAGCUAGUUGGUGAGGUAAAGGCUCAACAAGGCGACGAUACAUAGCCGACCGGAGAGGGUGAUCGGCCACAUUGUGACUGUGACACGGGCCAGAAUCCUAAGGGAGGCAGCAGUGGGGAAUAUUGCACAAUGGGCGCAAGCCUGAUGCAGCCAUGCCGCGUGUAUGAAGAAGGCCUUCGGGUUGUAAAGUACUUUCAGCGGGGAGGCGUUACCCGCAGAAGAAGCACCGGCUAACUCCGUGCCAGCAGCCGCGGUAAUAC
rnacentral:rRNA from 1 species